rnacentral:pre_miRNA from 1 species
UUGAAGAAUUUGAAGACUUUAACUUGCAGACAUGGAGCAUUUGAAGACUUCAACUUGCAGGCUUAAAGAAUUUGAUGACUUCAACA